GUUGACACCAAUUUGUGUUUUUAUACAUGUACUUUGGAUAAUGAUGUCUAUCACAUUCCAUCAUCCUUGCUAACCCCCUGCCCCCUCCUUUUCUCUCCAACUCCUCUGCCCUAUCUAGAGUUCCUCUGUUCCUCCCAUGCUCCCCCUACCUACCCCACUAUGAAUCAGCCUCCUUAUAUCAGAGAAAACAUUUGGCAUUUGUUUUUUGGGGAUAAGCUAACUUCACUUGGCAUUAUCUCUCCAAUGCCAUCCAUUUACUUGCAAAUGCCAUGAUUUUAUUCUCUUUUAUUGCUGAGUAAAUUUCCAUUGUGUAUAUAUGCCACAUUUUUUUUAUCCAUUCAUCUAGUGAAGGGCAUCUAGGUUGGCUCCACAGUUUAGCUAUUGUAAAUUGUGCUGCUAUAAACAUUGAUGUGGCUGUUGUCCCUGUAGUAUGCUCAUUUUUAAGUCCUUUGUGUAUAGACUGAAGAGAGGGAUAGCUGUGUCAAAUGGUGGUUCCAUUUCCAGAUUUCCAAGGUAUCUUCAUACUGGCUGCACCAAUUUGCAGUCCCACCAGCAAUGUAUGAGUGUACCUUUCUUCCCACAUCCUCACCAACACUUAUUGUUGUUUAUAUGCAUAAUAGCUGCCAUUAUAACUGGAGUGAGAUGGUAUCUUAAAUAGUUUUGAUUUGCAUUUCUCUAAUUGCUAGAAAUAAUGAACAUUUUUUCAUAUAUUUGUUGAUUGAUUGUAUAUCCUCUUCUGAGAAGUGUCUGUUCAGGUCCUUGGCCUAUUUAUUGGUUGGGCUUUUUUUUUUUUUGGUGCUUGUUUAUAUGCUCUAGGGAUUAGUGCUCUAUCUGAUAUGUGAGGGGUAAGAAUUUGCUCUUAGUAUGUAGGCUCUCUGUUCACCUCACUGAUUGUUUCUUUUUCUGAGAAGAAACAUUUUAGAUUGAAUCCAUCCCAUUUAUUGAUUUUUAAUUCUUGCAUUAUAAGAGUUUUAUUAAGGAAGUUGGGGUCUAA
rnacentral:lncRNA from 1 species